UAUGGGUGACCUCGGAU
rnacentral:rRNA from 1 species